rnacentral:rRNA from 1 species
CCUACGGGUGGCAGCAGUGAGGAAUAUUGGUCAAUGGGCGCAAGCCUGAACCAGCCAAGUCGCGUGAGGGAUGACGGUCCUAUGGAUUGUACACCUCUUUUGUCGGGGAGCAAGGCCCGCCACGUGUGGCGGGCAGGAGAGUACCCGAAGAAAAAGCAUCGGCUAACUCCGUGCCAGCAGCCGCGGUAAUACGGAGGAUGCGAGCGUUAUCCGGAUUUAUUGGGUUUAAAGGGUUCGUAGGCGGAAGGUUAAGUCCGCGGUCAAAUGUCGGUGCUCAACACCGGCCUGCCGUUGAAACUGGUAUUCUUGAGUGAGCGAGAAGUAUGCGGAAUGCGUGGUGUAGCGGUGAAAUGCAUAGAUAUCACGCAGAACUCCGAUUGCGAAGGCAGCAUACCGGCGCCCAACUGACGCUGAAGCACGAAAGCGUGGGUAUCGAACAGGAUUAGAUACCCCAGUAGUC